GAAAAAAUGGAGGAUACGUCACACUAACAUGUGAACAUGUGGCCAAUAAUAUUGUUCACAUUGAGUUAUUCAGUGAGUCAGGAGACAUAGAUGUGUGUCAGACUGAAGAAUGUAGUGUUCGAGUGUUUAAAGAAGGAAACUGUGACGUCGUCAUCAAGAAUCUGAUUUUCAGUGAUGCUGGGAAAUAUAUUUUGCAUGUCUAUUACACUAAUGAUCAGACAGAGCUGAAGUGACUAAUCAGGACGUACCAUCUUCAUAUUCAUGAUGAGAUUACUGUGAAAACAGGCGAGGAGCUGGAGUUGGAUGUUCUGUUUUCUAAUGCUGAUAAAGUGGAGAAAAGCUCUAGUGGAGAGUGGAGGGAGGUUUGGAGCAGAACUGAUGGGGUUCAGAGCGAUCGACUGAAUGUUAAUGAUGAAAACCUGAUCAUUAAAUCGUUUACAGCCAGUGAUGCAGGAACAUACAGAUUUCUGGACUCUGACGGAGAAAUCUUGAUCACAGUGACAAUCACAGAAUCAGGUCAUGUCUCUGUCUCAGAAUCAACGGAAAAACUGGAGAAUGAUGAAGACAAAACUGAAGACACUGAACAACAGACGAAAUGGAUUGCGCCAGUUGUAGUGUGUUUGGUGAUUCUGGCUGUGAUUGUGAUUUAUUUCAUCAUACGGCGCCGUCAGCACAGAGGUCACACACAGGUUCCAGCAGAGGAGAAUACAGAGCACAGACAGGAACUGGAGGAACUAUAAUGAUCUUCACUGAACGUGACUCAACUGCACAGGAGCCCUGAACACCUGCGACGCCACUGGUUACUUGUUAUUUGCCUUCAACACCAACACAAUUCUGUCAACAUAUAACGGCAGCUGGGGGGUGAUAUGUAUC